AGGAGCGGCGGGACCGGGGGGCAGAGAAGGAGCACAAGCGCUACCACAGCCUGGGCAACAUCAGCCGGGGUGGCAGUGGCGGCAGUGGCAGUGGUGGGGAGAAGCCCAGCGGCCCUGUUCCCCGCAGCCGCCUGGACCCCGCCAAGGUGCUGGGCACUGCGCUGUGCCCGCGCAUCCACGAGGUGCCCCUGCUGGAGCCCCUUGUGUGCAAGAAGAUCGCCCAGGAGCGGCUCACAGUCCUCCUGUUCCUGGAGGACUGCAUCAUCACUGCCUGCCAGGAGGGCCUCAUCUGCACCUGGGCCCGGCCGGGCAAGGCGGUGAGUGGCCCCACACCAGCCUGCCGGGGACCUGGCAGGACCUUUCGUGGGAAGAGGCAGGCAUUGGCAGAGAGAGGGCUUUGUUGCUGUCACAGCCUCUGGCUCCGUGGGGUGAGGGGAAGCCAGGGAAAUCUUAGUGUCUCAGUACAAGACCUCUCAGAUCCUUAGAGUGAGGGGGUCUAGCCCUAGGCAGCAGGCAGCAGAAAGAGGGGUGGGUGUGAGAGCCAGCUAGGAAUUGGGGCAUCCAAGGCUGGCCGUCUGAAGGGCAGCAGAUGGGCCCCACAUGGCCAGGUCUUACUGCCUGUCACUCGAACCAGAAUCUAUUUCUGUUGAACAUC
rnacentral:lncRNA from 1 species